rnacentral:rRNA from 1 species
GAAGAACCUUACCAGGCCUUGACAUGCACGGAACUUUCCAGAGAUGGAUUGGUGCCUUCGGGAACCGUGACACAGGUGCUGCAUGGCUGUCGUCAGCUCGUGUCGUGAGAUGUUGGGUUAAGUCCCGCAACGAGCGCAACCCUUGUCCUUAAUUGCCAGCACGUAAUGGUGGGAACUCUAAGGAGACCGCCGGUGACAAACCGGAGGAAGGUGGGGAUGACGUCAAGUCCUCAUGGCCCUUACGUCUGGGGCUACACACGUGCUACAAUGGCUGGUACAGAGGGUUCCGAUACCGCGAGGUGGAGGCAAUCCCAAAAAACCGGUCUCAGUUCGGAUUGCAGUCUGCAACUCGACUACAUGAAGCCGGAAUCGCUAGUAAUCGCGGAUCAGCCAUGCCGCGGUGAAUACGUUCCCGGGUCUUGUACACACGC